CUGAGCUGUCAGCACAGAGCCCGACUGGGGGCUGGAACUUACGGACUGCGAGAUCAUGACCUGAGCGGAAGUCGGACGCUUAACCGACUGAGCCACCCACGCGCCCCGAAAGUAUGGUUCAUUUUAAACGUCUAAGAAAAUUAAAACCAGGUGAAGCUGAUCAAGAAUUACAUGAAACAAUAAAAAUAUGGAAAAUAUUUGCAGAGAUACUUUGAAAAAGAGAAUUCUGCUUCCCCAUAAAUGAAGACUGACCUAAGAGAGUUGGUACUAGAAUUGGGGUAGUUCAAGGAAACCAAUUCUGAAAGAGACAUUGAAGUUUGGUCACCUGCCAGUCAGAUGGCAAUGUGUACUUCAUUAUGGAUGGUGAACGGAGUACAGAUAUUUCCUGGUAUACUAUAGUGGCACAAUUAUUAAAAAGUUUUCAUCAACGGUGAACUGAGACAACAUACCAGUAGAAGGGAAUGUGCUGAUGGGCAGAACAAUUCCAAUGAUUGAGAGACUUGACACAAGUUGUAAAUAUAGGACAAUAAAAUUUGAUGUCUCCUUCUGA